rnacentral:lncRNA from 1 species
AAAAACAGAGUGGACAAGCACUAGCUGGCACUCGUCCACCCUGCAAGUGGAGGAGGGAAAGGACCGAAAGGAAAGAAAAAAAAAAAAGAAGAAAAGAAGAAGAGGGAAAACAGUCUGAAGACCGAAAAAAAGAAGAAGAGAAAAGUAGAGGUGAAAGGAAAAAAAGAAGCAAAAGAGAAUAGAGAGAAAGAAGAAAACGAAGGGAGGAGACAGAGUAGAGAAGAGAGAAAAGAGGAGGAAAAAAAAGAAGAGAAGAGAAGAAAAACCGAAAGAAGGUAGGGAGAGAAAGAACAUAAAAAUAAAGAAGAAGAGAGACAGAGGAGAGGAGAAAAAAAAAUAAGAGCAAAAAACAGGGGAGAAGAAGAAGAAAAACCACCACCCCUGCCGCCUCCGUUGUCGCCAGCAAUCAUCAACGUCACCACCGCUCCAGGUAGUUGCGCCUCCCUCUUCCCUGUUUGUUAUGCGUUGCCUGCAUUUGGAUGUAGAACGUGAAUAAAUCAUGUUCUACAGCAAAUGCAGAGGUGGCUAGUUACUGUGCUCAUGCACAGUAUCCAGCUUUAUUAGUGAUGGGUUAGAACAUCAGUCCAGCCCACAAUAUAUGAGUCGGGUCAAGCCUAGUCCAUAAUGGUUGGGCCAGGUCUGGCCAUGGUUUUUUUUUUUUUUAAGAAAAAUUAAAUUUUUUUUUUUAGAAUUUUACAAUUUUCCCAUGUAUUUUUUAUGUCAUUUUGAUUAAUAUUGGUUAAUAUUUUUAUGUUGCUAAAAAUAUGAAUCUGGUAUUAAAAUACCCGAUUUUCGUCAAAAACUUUCAAAAUACAAAAAAAGUUGAAGAAAGAAAAUAUUUUUGUGCAUACAGCCAGGUGUCUCAAAGCUAAAAAAAUCAUAUUGUGUUUGUUAUACACUAGGAAAAAAUAUUUUAGUGUGCAUUUUGGCUUUAAUAACCAAUUUAUUAAAAUCAAUAGAACAUUGGCCAAAAUUGCAAGAACAACAAAAAUUUUAUUUUGUUUGUCUUUUAGUAUCUAGGUUAUGACAUUACACAUAAUACGUAUUCCAGAUAUUAAAAUCUUUUUUUAGACUCUAGAACGGUUAGAUUCUACCCCAUUAAGAUAAGAACCUCCUUAUUAAGGAGGGCUUUUCUUGAACCUUAGGCAGACAAACAAUUAGAAAACACAAUAAGACCUUAGAUUUUAUCAGACAUUCAAACAAUGUAGCCUAUCUUAGGUAGGGCAUAGUUGGGGUGCUAAUACUUUUCCUUUACACAACCUAUCUUCAUACCCGAUCUUUGAGACCAGUUAAGGUUCCUAGUAACCAUAAUAUUAGGUGACGACUCCCAGUCCAUAUUUUAUUGAUAAGAGACAAGAAUUCCUUGUCUCACCACACAUACCAGAGAUAUACCAUUUACAAUUUUUCCUUGAGGAUGGACGGUCACCACGACGCCGUACACGUGGGAAAGUGUAGAUGAAAUGAAGCGGGUAAAUUUUUUUUGGCGUGCUUUAUCCGACAAUAAAUCCAUCUAUAAAAUUAUUACCAAUGGACUAGUCUACAUAUUAUAAAUCACCAAUAGAAUUUUUUUGAUAAAUUAUUUAUGUUUGUGAUUAUGUCAGCAAGAUUCAUGUCGAUGGACUGUGAGUGUAAAUACCGAAAGAAAAUUAUGUUGAUAAAUCUAAAAUUAUGGUAGUGCAAUAAGUUCUUUUAUAUCAGCCGCUAAAUAGAUAAAGUGAGGAUCAAACACUCCACUAGAUUGACUUGGUAAUUAAGCUAAGCUACUAUAUAAAUUACCAAGUCAAUCUAUAUAUAUUAAGCUUAGCUUAAUUACCAAGUCAAUCUAUAUAAGUAUAUAAAGAUUGACUUGGUAAUUAAGCUAAGCUACUAUAUAAAUUACCAAGUCAAUCUAUAUAUAUUGAGCUUAGCUUAAUUACCAAGUCAAUCAAGUCAAUCUAUAUAUAUUGAGCUUAGCUUAAUUACCAAGUCAAUCUAUAUUGACUUGGUAAUUAAGCUAAGCUCAAUAUAUAUAGAUUGACUUGGUAAUUUAUAUAGUAGCUUAGCUUAAUUACAUAGUAUGUAUAUAUAUAGAUUGACUUAAUUACCAAGUCAAUCUAUACUUGGUAAUUUUAUAUAUAUAUAUAUAGAUUGACUUGGUAAUUUAUAUAGUAGCUGAGCUUAAUUACCAAGUCAAUAUAAACUUGGUAAUUGAGCUAAGCUACUAUAUAUAUAUAAAUUAAGCUACUAUAAUUACCAAGUCAAUCUAUAUAUAAAUUGACUUGGUAAUUAUAGUAGCUUAAUUUAUAUGUAAUUAAGCUAAGCUACUAUAUAAAUAACCAAGUCAAUCUAUAUAUAUACUAUAUAGAUUGACUUGGUAAUUAAGCUAAGCUACUAUAUACAUACUAUGUAUAUAAUAUGUAUAUAUAUAGGUUGACUUGGUAAUUAAGCUAAGCUACAAUAUAUAUUAUUAUAUAUAUAGUAGCUUAGCUUAAUUACCAAGUCAAUCUAGGGGAAAGAAAUGACUAUGCAAUCGUAUACAUUAGACUUUUGAAAAUAAAAAAUAAAAUAAAAAGUGAUUAAGUAUAGGCAAGUGAUAGCUCACAUAAAGAGCAGCAAGUCAUCGCAAACUAGCUUUCAAAAGCCUGUUUGAUAUUGUUUUCGGUUUUUUUUUUAUCUUUUAAUUUUAUUUUCGAACUUCUGAAAAAAAAAGUGGUUUUCAGAAGUCACAAGUCAAAAUGUCGAGUUCAAAGCCUCAAAACUCGAGUCAGGACAGCAUACAUAUAUAGCUUUAAGAUGCUGGAUCAAGGUUAGGUCCAUAACUAUUUGAGAUCGAGUUAGUGCAUGGCACCGAGUUUCAAGUCUAGGGAGUUUAGGGAUCAGUUCCAAUAACUCAAGUACAUUUUCUAAAUAAAAAAUGAAAAUAGAAACAGAAAUGAUAUCGAACAACCCUAAGCAAGUAAAAGAACAAAAGUUUCUAUGCUGAUAUAGUCAACGAAAAAACUCAUGAUCUACGUACUUGUGACCCAAGGCUGAUGAAUAUUGCCUUGGCAAUAUUCUAAUGUGAACGAUGACAAACCUCAAGAUUUUUAAAUAUUGUAUUUGAGCGAAUGACUCAAGAUGCCAAGACUUUCUUGCUUUCAGACAAAGCGGGGUACGUAUCUCCAUACUUCGAGGGCACAUUCAUAAUGUUCGACUGUUUCUUAGGCAAUGGGAGCUUAAUUUGAAACAAAUCGGAAUCUGAUGAAAGAUGGGUGAAGAUGUGGGGAUGCUCCUGUUGAGUUAAAGACGCCGUGGGGCUUAGUUUCUAUGCUAGGAUGCUUCUAAGCUUCCUUGUGUAGUUUCUGUGGAUGUUGAGGGCACUUUAAUUUCUGAUGAAGUAGAGUAUUUGGGGAAUUAUGUAUGCCAUGCUACCUUUGUAUAUGGUUCCUAUAACUCUAAUGCUAGAAAAGAUCUUUGUAGAUGUUAAUUUCUGUUUCUAAACAGUCCCUUGAAGCUUUGAAAGGUCCUCUCAAGCAGUUAAACUCAUGAUAUUAUGGUGACAUGACAGGAAGAGUAAAGAAAGCAAGGGCUGACUUAAGGCGAAGAUUGUUUCAUUCAAAGUAGUUUUCUGAAAAUCAGUUUCUAAACUUGUAUGUGUUUGUUUACCAUUAAAAAAAUUAGUCAAUAAAAAAAAAUUUUAAUCAAAGAAAAAUUUAGUUUGGAUUUUCAAGAAAGUGUUUUUUUAUUAUUAUUUUAGACAGAAAACACUUUUCAGAAGUUGCGAAAAAAAUUAAAAAUAUCAUAUUAUUUAUUGAUUAUAUAAAAUUUAGCCCUCGAUCUUUUGAUUUUUAUAUAUUUUAUUUUGGAUUUCUUUUUAAUUUCAUCAUUUAAAUUUUGAUUUAAUUUAAUUUUUAUAUCAAACUUAUAUAAUCCCUAUUCUUUUGAUUGUUUGCUUUUUUCUUGCUGUUACUCAAUUUUGGACCCCCACAUGCUGGAAAUGGUGUAUACCUCUUUUGAAUUGAGUGUAGGAGUUUAGCUCAUGUUUGCUAGAAUAUUGACAAAAGCAGAGAAAUAAAUAUUUUUUUUCAAAACCUUGUUUGAGCUGUUUUCUGCUCUUUUUAUCCUUCCCCUGUGCUACCAAAAUCGUCAGGUUUUCUUAGAUUGAUCAGGAGUCUUCAUAAUGCUAAAUUUAUUCCUUCUUUAUUUGGUCUUUAAGGUUGGAUAAAUCCCUCAGAAUUUGCACUAUAAAAAAAAAUGGUUCUGCUGUUGUCACGAUUUUUUGUUACAAAUUAGGCUCUGAUUUUGACUUGGUUUCAUACGAUAUCUAACCAUCCUAGCUAUAUUUUGUCACUCAUGACAUGUUGAAAAAUUGACCUACACCUUUAUUAGGUCCUAGGGAUCAUUGUUCUUAGGGCAGAUUCUUAGUCAGAUUUGGAUGCUUAGCAUUGUCAAAUUAAGAACAUUUUUGACCAACUAGAUUACUACCAGAUUCUGUUUUCUAAAAUAAUUUUAUCUCACUCUGACUCCUUCAUCAAAGUUGUAGUCCUAGACGUGUAGAUAAAUUUGGGAUUUUGAAUCACUUGAUUUCGAUAUCAGAAGCUUAAGAUAUUCUCGUUUGAAUAUCUAACGUAAAGGUAGAGAAUUCUACCGCAAGAAGUAUCUCGACCCGAGUUUUGCACUAAAAACUCUAUUUCCACCACAUAUUUUGUUGAUUUGUUCUUAGAUCAUACUCGCAGUCAUAUCAGGAUUCUCGGCAUUAUCAGUUUCUGAAUUAGACCCGGAGAUCCUUUUUGACUAACUAGAUUACUACCAGAUUCUGUUCUCUAAAACAAUUUUAUCUCACUUCGACUCUUUCAUAAAAGUUAUAAUCCUGGACGUGUAGAUAAAUUUGGGCUUUUGAAUCGCUUGAUUUUGAUAUCAAAAGCUCAAGAUAUUCCCCUUUGAAUAUCUAACGUGAAGGUGGAGAAUUCUACCGCGAGAAGGAUCCUGACCCAAGUUUUGCAAUAAAAACUCUAUUUUUGUCACAAAUUUUGUUGAUUUGCUCUUAGAUCAUACUCUUAGUCAUAUCAGGAUUCCUGGCAUUAUCAAUUUCUGAAUUAGACCCGAAGAUCCUUUUUGACCAACUAGAUUACUACCAGAUUCUGUUCUCUAAAACAAUUUUAUCUCACUUCGACUGCUUCAUCAAAGUUGUGGUCUUGGACAUGUAGAUAAAUUUAGGCUUUUUAAUAGUUUGAUUUCGAUAUUAGAAGCUCAAGAUAUUCUCAUUUGAAUAUCUAACGUGAAGGUAGAGAAUUCUACCACGGGAAGGAUUUUGACCCGAGUUUUGCACUAAAAACUCUAUUUUGUCACAAAUUUUGUUGAUUUGUUCUUAGAUCAUACUCUCAGUCAUUAGGAUUCUCGACAUUGUCAGUUUCUGAAUUAGACCCAGAGAUCCUUUUUGACCAACCAGAUUACUGCUAGAUUCUGUUCUCUAAAAUGAUUUUAGAGACACUUUUACUCCUUCAUCAAAGUUGUAGUCCCGGACGCGUAGAUAAAUUUGGGCUUUUGAAUCGCUUGAUUUCGAUAUCACAAGCUCAAGAUUUUCCCAUUUGAAUGUGAAAGCAGAGAAUCCUACCGCAAGAAGGGUUUAGCCCAAGUUCGCGGGACUGAUUCAAAAGAUUGUUUUUGGACCAAGGACUGAAUCGAAAAGUGCUAAAAUGAGGAAUUGAAUUGAAGAAGGAUAUUUAGAGCUAGAGAGGAGAGCUGGAUCAUCAUAAAUGAUAGGAUUUUUACCACACCGAAUAAGGAAAGUAAGACUUUUCAGCAUGCACCCUUACCUAUCUGAUUUAUUUCCUUUUUAUCUUUGCAAAUUUCCUGUCGGUCUCCAUGUUUGUCUUGUUGAUUAGAGAGCUGCAGGCCACGUUUUUAUUGACUCAUUUCAAAGGAAACAGCUGGUGCCUCAUGGUCCUAGCUAUGGAAGGAAAUAAAGGAGUUGUACCACCACCCUUUGAUCAAUGGAAACUAACUGCUGAAAUCAAAAUAGGAAUUAGGAUAUUUCAAUUUCCUUUUGUGUUUUUUUUACUGCAGAUUAGCAGGGAUUUGCAUCCUAUAAUUAGUGCAUUGAAUAUUUCCUAAAUAGAGACAUGUUUAGACAUGAUUGAGCUAGAUUUUUGGGGUUUAAGAAUGAACCGAAUUUUAUUUGAGAAAAGUUAGUUUUGAGGGGCUAUCUUUGUUUUAUUAUAUUUUAUUUAUUUUUGAAAAGUUUUGAGAAUAUAUGUAUAUGCACACAGUUUGUCGUCUUUAAUUGUGAUUAACUAUGAUGCUUAUGUUUCGAUAAAAAAAAAAUGGUUCUCUUGUGUGUCGUAUACGACCAAUACCCUAACAUGUUUUUAACAUUUAUUUUUACAUAAAAAAAUAUUGAAAGUUUUGAAAAUAUGCUUUCUCAUGGAUUUCAUAAACAAAAAAAAAACAAAACAUCAUUUUCUUGCAUUUCUGGAUUUUACAACAUGUUUGUAAAACUCCAAAGGGUAUUGGCCAAUAUUCCAAAAAAUAAAAAAAAAUCUUAUUUUGGGGGGUAUUCAUCUAUUAUUCACUGUUAAUGUUUAGAUAAAGAAAUCCCAAAGGGAUAAAUAUCCAAAAUAAUAUUGGGAAUAACUUGUUAUUAUUCACUAUUAAUAUUUGGAUAAAGAAACCCUAAGUGGUAAAUAUCCAAAAUAAUUUUCUAGGAAUAAUAAGUCAUCACACAUCCUUGAAAGAAGUCUUGAUUAUAAUCGAGGACAUUUUAAUUUUUUACUUCACAGUUUACGAGCCGUGAGAGUAUAAAACACUAAGGCAAAAAUAGGUUUUUAUUAAAUCAUCCUAGAUUUCUAAAUUUUUGUCCAUCCUCCUUGUGAUUUACGAGUCGCAGAGUCUUGAAAUACUAAGGGAAAAAUGAGCUUUCAAAGCAUAUGAAAUUUCCUUGGAUUUCUAUCUUAAUAAAUUUAGUUUGUAUCAAACCUAGAAAAACUAAUGGGAUUAGAAAACACCAACACCAUAGCAAUUAUAAAGCAAACCAAACACCAAGCAACUUACCUUAGAUAUGCCGUACAAGAGGUCCUAAUACGUUCCCUUUAUGCAACCAGUCCCUUGCCUUAGAAUCUUUGAAAGACCAGUUAGGUUUUCUAGUGAUCAUAAUACUAGGUGGCGACUCCCUUUACACAACAAAAAAAAAACAAAAAAACCAAAAUCAAUUGAGGGUCGCCGCGACGCCGCACUCCGCCGUGAGGGUGUGACAUCUCUUAUCAUUUCUUAAUUGAAUUUUUUUAUCUAUCACAUUUGGUCCAUAUUCUUUUGAUUGUUAUUUGUUUUUCUCUUAUUAUUUUCUUAAUUAAAAUUUCUUACCUAACAGAUUUGGUCCAUAUUAUUUUGAUUGUUAUUUAUUUCAUUUGAAAUAAUUUAUGAAAUUGUGAUUUUUUUUAAUUUUAUCAUCUUUUAACUUUUUUUAUUUGUCAGAUUUGGUUUCUAUUAUUUUACUUGUUAUUUAUUUUAUUUGAAAUAAUUUAUGAAUUAGAUUUUUUUAUCUAAAAUAAAACACUUAUAAAAUUAAAAAUCAAUAAAAUAUCAAAGUGAUUGGAAAGGAAAUCAAAUCGAAAAAAAUUGCAUUGCUCAAAUAAUAAUCAACCAAAGGCCUCCAUAAAAAGGUCUAGGCAUGCGGGCCUGGACCAGCCCAGGCCCUUGGGCAUUUUUUUAUUUUAUUUUUUUAAAAGGUGCAUAAUAGGUCAUCUGCCCUUUAAUGAUUUAAGAUAAAUAGAGGUGAUGCAUCACUUGUGUCGUUGAGGUAGAUAACACGUCGCCUCUACUACCUCGAUUCCAAGUACCAAACGUCCUUGGAAAUUCAAUCUGGUCUAUUUCAGACCAAGAAAAAGUUAUUUUUAACCAUAUUUUAACUUGAAAAAACACAUGUAAAACAUAUCUAGAGCCUCCAUCAACCCAAAAAUUAUCUCUAAAAUUGACAAUCAACCCGAAACCAAGAUUCUUUUCGGGUUCACAUUCACCAUUUCAGACAAGUUUAAGGGAAAAACGACACUAUGUCUAAACUUUACUCAACAAAAAGAACCCAUUAAAAUCAAAAUUACCUAUUUUCACAGUCAAAAUCAGUCUCAAUCGAAACUUUUUCUAUCUACCACGGGAAUCUAGUCACUCUCUCAAACCGGGGAUGAAAAAAAUAAGGAAAAUGAAGUUUAGAACUGAAAUUGAAUUUCAUAAAAUUUUAAGGACUAAAAGCUUAUAUAUAAUCUUAAAAGUUGGGGGACUAAAGUACAUGUCUAGCCACAAUUCUAGCAAAACCAUAUCUUUUUGUUGUGUUUUUCAUUUUAGUCUCCUCUUUUUGAAUCUUGCCUUCCUUAAUAAAAGUCCUAUAAGUGGUCAUCAAUUUGGGCUUAUAAAGGUGCAAUAAAAAGAAGAAGAAAAUAAGAUGGACUAAAACAAAAUCAUCUAAUUUAGAAAACGGUGCAUAUUAUUGGAUCACUGGAUGAAUUAUUUUUUUAUAAAUAAUAUGAUUUCAUUCUUUGGUUUUUUUAAAAAAAAUACUUGGUGUUCAUCUUGCUGAGAUAGAUUAAAUUUGACAUGUUUAAUUUUUUUUUAUUUAAAUUAAAAGCUGAGCCAAAUUAGACCUAUUAAAUUUAAUAACUAUUAUUGAAAGUAAAAUAUAAUCUUUCAACUUUCGGAUUUAGAGUAACUUUUGUUGGGAGUGGGGUGAGAUAGAGAAAAUCAAAGGAGUGAUAAAAUCACACGGAGAGAUCAUAAAUAAUACUACUACAAGGCACCAAAUACUAAUUAUUAUACAUGUUAUUUUAUUAGUUUCGGAACGUCUGAUGAAGGGAAAUACAAUGAGAAAAUUAUAAAAUUGUCUAAAACUCAUGCAAAUCAAAUGAACAUAAGUGUUUCUCUGUGGACAUAUAAUUUGGACCCAAAAAUCACAAUUAUAUCAUUAACCAUGUAUGCUUUCGGUUCCUUAUUUAGAGAUUAGCACCCGUGAACAGUAGCAUGAGCACCGAUGAUACCAGCAGCAACAACAACAAGUUCAGUAAUUGCUCCUUAUUUGGAUAAUGGAUAUCCGAAACUCAAUUAGGUCUUCAAGAUUUAUAUCCGUUAGGGUUUAGGUGGAUAAUACCUUAAUUGCAUAGGCGGGACUCUCUGGCCCUUGUUGGACGUCCAAGCAUUGGUGGAUCUAUGUUGCCCGCAAAGAGAAAUCACCAGCGAUUAGUUGGGCUUCCGGCCCCUUAUAUUUAAACAGUGAUGAGCUCACAGCCAUCUGGCCCAUUUAGGCUUUGUCCAAAGAGAUAAGUGUGGAGUUGAAACCGGGUUUUACUUUACCCGACUCAAAAUGUCUCCAUCAUAGAUUUUUUAUCAUCUGUCCAUACCUCCAAUCUAGUGAAGUCGGGUUACAUAUGACUUUCUAGUAUCCAUCAAAAACCUGAUCUGAUCUAGGUGUUUUUUUUUAAUAAAAAAAUUAAUUUUAUCAAAAAAAUAAUCUACUUUUACAAAACUAACCAAAUCAUAAAAUAAAAUAAAUUUUUUUAUUUAUAAAAAAAUUUUAAAUUAUUAUUAAAGUAUCUUAAAUAAAAAUUUUAAUUAACUUUUUUAUAUAUAGAUUAUUAGGUCUGACGAUCAGAUCCAAAAUACUUGGGUAUUAUAAACAUUCUUGAUUUGAUGAAGAAUAAAAUAAAUCAUAAAAAAAACCUACAAAUAACCAAAAUAAAACAAAAGGAUUGUAAAAUUAUUAUUAUUAUAAUUUACAGUAAAAUAUCUUGAAUAUCAUUGGUUGAUAUUUAUUGACGGAAUCUUAUAUUUAUGACAAAAUAUUUUGAAUAAAUGACUUAAAAUUAAAUUAUUAUAUUUUGAAUUUAAUUUUGACUUAAAAUUAAAGACUAAUAUUUUGAAUUUGUGUGUUUUAUGUAAAAUUAAUCAGCUAAAACCUGGCCUAAGUAUCUGUUUAAUUUGUUCUCUCUAGUUUAAUACAUUUUUAUAGUUUUGAUAUUUUAAAAAGAGAAAAAAGAAAAGAAGAAAUUUAAUUCAUUAACACUUGCUAAAAUAGUUUUGAUACUAUCUCAUGAUUAAAAAAAAAAACAUGGACAUAGUUGGGAUAAAAGAGACAUGUUUCAUGUUUUUCUUUAAUCGGUCUAAGUUGAUAUUUAUUUUUCUUUGCCACGAGAAUCUAACUAUUUUUUCAAACUAGGGACCAAUAAAUAAGGAAAAUGAAGUUUAGGACUAAAAUUGAAUUUUAUAAAUUGUUAAGAACUAAAAGCUUAUCAUUUAAAAAGUUGGGAACUAAAGUAUAUAGAUAACCGCAAUUCUAGAAAAACCAUCCCUUUUUUGUUAUAUAUUUUUAUUUUAGUUUUCUAUUUUUGAAUCUUGCCUUCCUUAAUAAAUGUGAUAUAAUUGGUUAUUAAUUUGGGUGUAUAAAAAAAGAAGAAGAGGGACUAAAAAAAAUCAUCUAAUUUAAAAAAGGGUGCAUAUUAUUGGAUUAUUGGAUGAAUUAUUUUUUAUAAAUGAUAUUAAAUUUGACAUGAUUAAUUUUUUUUAUUUAAAUUAAAAGCUGAGCCAAAUUAGACCAAUUAAAUUUAAUAACUAUUAUUGAAACUAAAAUAUAAUCUUUCAACUUUCAGAUUUAGAGUAACUUUUGUUGGGAGUGGUGUGAGAUAGAGAAAAUCAAAGGAGUGAUAAAAUCACACGGAGAGAUCAUAAAUAGUACUACCACAAGGCACCAAAUACUAAUUAUUAUACAUGUUAUUUUAUUAGUUUCGGAACGUCUGAUGAAGGGAAAUACAAUGAGAAAAUUAUAAAAUUGCCUAAAACUAGUGCAAAUAAAAUGAACGUAAGUGUUUCAGUGUGGACAUAUAAUUUGGACCCAAAAAUCACAAUUCUAUCAUUAACCAUGUAUGCUUUCGGUUCCUUAUUUAGAGAUUAGCACCCGUGAACAGUAGCAUGAGCACCGAUGAUACCAGCAGCAACAAUAACAAGUUCAGUAAUUGCUCCUUAUUUGGAUAAUGGAUAUCCGAAACUCAAUUAGGUAUUCAAGAUUUAUAUCCGUUAGGGUUUAGGUGGAUAAUAUGACUCCUUAAUUGCAUAGGCGGGACUCUCUGGCCCUUGUUGGACGUCCAAGCAUUUAUAUCCGUUAGGGUUUAGGUGGAUCUAUGUUGCCCGCAAAGAGAAAUCACCUGUGAUUAGUUGGGCUUCCGGCCCCUUAUAUUUAAACAGUGAUGAGCUCACAGCCAUCUGGCCCAUUUAGGUUUUGUCCAAAGAGAUAAGUGUGGAGUUGAAAUCGGGUUUUACUUUACCCGACUCAAAAUGUCUCCAUCAUAGAUUUUUUUAUCAUCUGUCCAUACCUCCAAUCUAGUGAAGUCGGGUUACAUGAAUGACUUUCUAGUAUCUAUCAAAAACCCGAUCUGAUUUAGGGGUUUUUUUUAAUAAAAAAUUAAUUUUAUAAAAAAAAAAAACCUAUUUUUAUCCAAUAAACCAAAUCAUAAAAUAAAAUAAUUUUUUAUAUAUAAAAAAUAUUUAUAUUAUAAUUAAAGUAUUUUAAAUAAAAAUUCUAAUUAAUUUUUUAUUUUUUUAUUUUUUAUAGAUUAUUGGGUUUGACGAUAAGAUCCAAAAUACGUGGGUAUUAUAAACAUUCUUGAUUUGAUGAACAUUAAAAUAAAUCAUAAAAAAAAAAAAACAAAUAACCAAAAUAAAACAAAAAGAUUGUAAAAUUAUUAUUAUUAUAAUUUACAGUAAAAUAUCUUGAAUAUCAUUGGUUGAUAUUUAUUGACGGAAUCUUACAUUUAUGACAAGAUAUCUUGAAUAUCUCAUCCCAAAUGUAACUUUUUCAUUGGCCAAGAAAUAUAUAAACACUCAUUUAUUUUCCAUGUUAUUUAUUUAAAUUUUUUUUUAAAAAGAAUAAAAUAACACAUGACAAAAUUUAUGUUUAUAAAUAUAGUUUAUCUGUGAUGUAAGUUUUUUGAUGAAUGAAAUCAUCAUUCAAUGAACGAGAAGCAGGAUCGACCUGCUACAAAGCUAUAAUUUGUCUUCUUGAUUUAGCAAAAUCAUAAGUUGUCACAGAAAACCGCUCCCUCUAUUUCAAAGAUAUUGUUCACCUUUCAGUCCUAAAAUUAUAAUCCAUGAUUAAAAAAAUUAAACAAUUAAUUACUUGAUUUUACUAUAUAUUAUACCUCUAAUUAUAAUUUAUUUUAAUUCUUCCACUCAAGAUUCUCUCUUAUUUACUUUCAAAAGAUGAAUAAAAUAAUUUGAAAUAAGAUACGUAAAUAAUUGCUGAAAAGUUAAAUGAAAUAAUAUCUUUGAAACAGAUGGAUUGAACAAUACAUGCAAUUUGUUUUUUUAAUCCCUCCCUGAUUGGAUAUUAGGUAGGUAAUUAAGUGUCUUAAUCGUUAAGGACUCCUUGAUUAUAUAAAGAGGUUGUAAUUAUAAACCGAAUUAAUUUAUGACGCUGAAAGUAGAACUCCAUUAGGACAAUCCUUCUCACGACAGGAAACCUUUUUUAAUUUUGAGAUGGGAAACCAGAAGAAACAAGGAUUCCAUACACUUCUCAUCAACUUCGGACCAGAUCUUGGCUAUAGAUUGACAACUAAAGCCAUUGAAAUAGCUCAACUUGCAUUAGAUCUUCAAAUCACAACAGCGUCAACGAUGAACAGCAGCAAACCAGUACAUCUGCGCGAAGUCUGGGCAGACAACCUCGUAUAUGAGUUUUUUUCUAAUCAAGGAAGCGAUCUCUCGCUUCCCCUUGGUUGCUUUGGACACAGAAUUCCCUGGUACUAUCUUUCAAUUAAAUCGUGACAAGAGCUCGCUAUCUCAUGCCACUUGUUGUAACUCAUUUUUAGGUCUUCAUGUAAAAGAAUAAUAAAAUACAAAAACAAAUCCAAAAACUAUAUUAUCAAAAAAUAUAACAGUAAAAACAAAAUGCCAGAUCGCCCUAAAAAUGCUUAAAAAUUGAUUGAGGAUGUUCAAAAAUAUAAAAAUUUAAAUUUGACGGUAUAUCAUUGACUGAUGAGAGCCCUAUUGACAAAGAAUAUUUAAUUUGAGGAAGAAAAGUCCAAAAUCAGAAGUUUAUGGACUCAAUUAAAUUUUAUUGAAUAUUUAAUUGAAUUUAUAGAGGUUUUAAUUUCAAGAAAAAUUGAUUUUGGAGUUAAUUUGGGCUUUAAUUGGAAGAAAUUAAAGUUCUGAGGUCAAAUUAUAAUUUUUGGAAGUUAAUUUGGUCAAAUCAGGGGCUUAAUUGCAUAAAUAUUGAAGUUUAAUGGCCAAUUAGGGACUUAAUUGAAGAAAUCCAAGACCAAGGACUAAAAUGCAAAACGCGCGCAAAUUGCAGGCCUAAAUUUGAAAUUGAUGUGUUUGGCGCCAAAAUCCAUUUAAAUAAAACGGCACCGUUUCAUGCACUGUUCACCAAAAAAAAAAAAAACUCAAAACGGUGCCGUUUUGAACGGCACCAUCAUCUUCUUCCCCUGGACGCGCAAAAAACAGGAGAGAAGAAGAUUUUCUUCUCUCCUCUAUUCGCACCGACUUCCCUCCCCCCGAUAGCUUCAAAAAGACGCCAACCUAACCAAUGGCCUACCACCUUCCAGCUAGCACUCCCUGUCUACCCUGUCUUGUCCCCUAAACGGACAGAGAUAGGGCAUUUUUACCGUCUUUCUCUGCCUAUAUAUAUAUAUAUUAAAUUCUUAUAUUCUUAUAUGUUAUUGUAUAUUCAUAUUUGUAAUUUCCUCAUAUAUCAUUUCACUAUUUUUUUUAAAAAAGCCACAACAACCUCCAAAAGAAAAUUGAAUUUUAAAAAGCCUUAAACAAUUACAAAAAUAAAAUAAAACAAGCAUGAAAAGCCCACAAAACAUAAGAAAAUAAAAAAAAAUAAAAAGUGAACAAAAAACAUUUACUUGAAUAAUAUAAAAAAUAAAAAAAAAACCAUGCCAACAGAGCCUCACAACUAGAAAUUAAUUAUAUCUAUGGCAACAAAAUAAGUUUCACUGGAUAUGGAUUUUCAAAAUUUUUAUUAGUUACCAUUUAAAAAAAAAUAUAUCUAUGUUCUAUUUAAAAUGUUUUGGUACUCUCCAAGUUUUUUCAUUUCUAGGUUAUUUUUUAAAAAUAUGUUUUUAAUUUAUUUUUUCUAUUUUAUAUGUUUUUCAUGUCUUGUUAAGUUUUCAAUUUUUUUUUUUUUAACUUUGAUAUAUUUUAAGACUUAAUUUUUAUGUUGGAGGUCUUAGGGGUAUUUUCAUCCAAACAGUAACAAAAGAGUAUAUAAGAGAAAAUAUCUAUAUAUCCGUGCAUCCAAAUAUUGAUAAAAUCUUAACUUAUAAGCCCAUCCAAACCUUUAACAUGCCCUCAACCCUGAUUGUAGUGCUAUCAAAUGGUGCAUUUUGUGCACCUUAAUAAGCUCAGGCUGCCGUAUAAUAUCGGCCAGGUAGUCGGUCUCCUGAGAUCAAAUUAAACACACAUGGUUUGGCGAGGUACUAGCAUGAUGAGUGAGGUGGUAAAGGGCUUAGGCAUCAUCACCAACAAUUGUGAACAUAUGGUUGACUAUGGCGAAGAAAAGUAACUGAGUGGCUGCAACAUUGAUGACUCGGAAGAGGUUUGACUCACCAGAGUUUUUUUUUUUUUAAUCCUACCUGGGCUACAGCCCAACAGAGCCUUGUGAAAGGCUCCGCCCUUGUUCGUAUGCUAAAGUUAAAGAGUGCUGAAGAAGGAAAUAUUUGCAACUCGUGGUCUUGGGGUCAUAUUUCCAAAGCUUGUAAUCCAUCACCCAAGCCAGCACCACCGGAACAUAUUCCCGAUCAUGAAACACUAGCAGAGUGUUUAUAUCGGAGAACGCAACCCAUUCUUGGUCUGCUAGGAAAGUAAGCUUGCAUCCACUGCUGUCCUGAAAGGAGCUCUGGAUACGCAGCAGUGCUUACCAGAACAGAGACUAUUAAUUUCGUGCUCUGGGAACGCAUGUUGAGUCGCAUCCACUGACUUGGGGCCCAAUCUCUGUCAAUAGAGCACGGAUGUUGCAGCCGACUGCGAUGAACAGAUUACUGAAGGAGAAAAAGAAAGGACUUCCCUCCAAGUUCACAGGUGGACCGGAUUGCCUACCGGAACAACUGGAGGACAUAAUUGGACCUUUGACAACGGCAGCACCAUCUCCAAUAUUCAGAAAAAAAUUUAAUUCAGUAACACGUUGCUAAAAUAGCGGUUGAUACUUGAUACUAUCUCAAGAUACAAAAAUGAUGGACAUAGUUUGGAUAAAAGAGACAUGUUUCAUGUUUUUCUUGAAUCGAUUUUAAUCGAGAUUUUUUUUCUUUACCAUGAGAAUUUAGCCAUUCUUUUAAACUGGGACCAAUAAAUAAAGAAAAUGAAGUUUAUGACUGAAAUUGAAUUUUAUAAAUUAUUAAGAACUAAAAGUUUAUAAUUUAAAAAUUAAGAACUAAAAUAGACAAAAUUUAAUAACUAUUAUUGAAACUAAAAUAUAAUCUUUCAACUUUCGGAUUUAGAGUAACUUUUGCUGGGAGUAGGCACAAAAUAUAUACUAAUUAUACAUAUAUGUUGUUCGAUUAGUUUAGGAACGUCUGAUGAAGGGAAAUACAGCGAGAAAAUUCUAAAAUUGUCUAAAACUCAGGCAAAUCAAAUGAACAUAAAUGUCAUGCAUGUACUUAAUCAUCAUGUUUCGUGAGAAAUCAAUGGCUGGACAUCCAAAGAUGGAGCCUUGCCAUUUCUAAAAUCGCCAAUUGUUACUGAAGUAGGAGGCCCAGCAAUUUCCCAUACGGUGGGAACUUCAUCCCUGAUGUUUUCAAGUUCUUUACUACUUUGUUGUGCAUGAAGAGCUCCUUUUGACAGCCCAAUCUGCUCCAACUCUAUCGCGACUUCUCUCAUUGAUGGUCGUUUCCUUCCAUUCAAGUUCAAGCAUCUUCUUGCAAGCUUAGCGACUGCGAUAACUUCUUCUUCACGGUCCUGCCCCAUAAGUCGUUCGUCAAGAAUAUCAAAUAUCUUGUUCUCUACCAUCAAAAGAAUAAAAUGAGUGGCUAAACUUCUCCUGUCUUCCGGCCUUUCAUAAGAAAUUGGUUUUUGCCCACUCAAGAGCUCUGCAAGAACAACACCAAAACUGUAGACGUCACUUUUUCCGGUAAACUGGCUAGACUGGAAGUACUCUGGGUCCAAGUAUCCAAAAGUGCCUUGAACAUGAGUGGUUAGAUGAGUUUGAUCAAUGGCGAUCGAUCUUGAAGUUCCGAAAUCUGAUACUUUUGCUGUGAACUUCUCAUCUAACAGUAUAUUUGUAGACUUGACAUCACGGUGGUAAACCGGAAUGGAUGCUGCGGAAUGAAGAUAAGAAAGUGCCCUAGCAACUUCAGUAGCAAUCCUUAGUCGCAUUUCCCAUGAAAACUCGAACUCCUUCUUCUGGUCAUGAAUAUACUCAAAGAGAUUUCCAUUGGGAAUGAAUUCAUAGACUAGCAGAGGAACCUCCGUCUCUAAACAACAACCUAGCAACUUGACCACAUUUCUAUGAUUGACUUGUGAAAGGAUGACGACCUCAUUGAUAAAUUCUUCCAACUUUUCUUCAUCCACCAUUUUGGAUUUUUUAACAGCAACGAUCAUUCCAUCUGCUAGCAUUCCUUUAUAAACAGUUCCUUGGCCACCCUGACCAAGUAUUCUGUUAUCAUUAAAACGAUCGGUUGCCUUUUCCAGCUCCUUGGAAGGAAAUAUUUUUGUUUUCUGAAUGCUUCCAUCACUUGAUGAUAAUUGUUGCUGCAGCAAUAAACCACCAUUUCGUUUGAAGAACUUCUUCUUCAGUUCAAUGUUCUUCUUUUUUUUUACAAGUUUAUAUAACCGCCAAAUACCAACAAGCAGCAGCAACAAUCCAGUGGCCGCACCUAGAACUGUCAUUGCUCGCAAGGGAAAAAAAAAUAAAAAUUGUUAGAUACAUAUAUUAUAAUUGAACAACAAUCUAUGUCGACAUGGUGGUUAAAUGUUUUGUGGGUUGAGGUAACCUUCUACCGCAUAUUUGUUAUGUAAUUUUUUUUAAUAAAAAUUCUCGUAUGUUAUCGUAUAUUCAUAUGUUUUUCCUUAUAUAUCCUUUCUCACUAUUUUGAACAAAAAAGCCACAACAACCUCCCAAAGAAAAUUUAAUUUUAAAAAGCCUAAAACAAUUACAAAAAUGAAGAAAAAAAGCAUGGAAAGCCUCACAUGAAUUAAAAACAAAUUAAAAAAUUUAUGAUUUACCAUUUUUUAAAAAUAAAAAAUUGAAAAGUGAAAAAAAAAACUUGAAUAAUAUAAAAAAUAAAAAAUUUUCAAGUCAACAAAGCCUCACAACUAGAAAUUAUAUCUAUGGCAACAAAAUAAGUUUUACAGGUUUUGGAUUUUUCAAAAAUUUUAUGAGUUACCAUUUUUAAAAAAAUAUCUAUGUUCUAUUUAAAAUGUUUUGGUAGUCUCCAGGUUUUUUCAUUUUAGGUUUUUUUUUUAAAUAUGUUUUUUUUUAUCUAUUUUAUUUGUUUUAAUUUCAUGUAUUGUUAAGUUUUCAAAACUUAUUUUUUUUACAUUUGAUAUAUUUUAAUACUUACUUUUAAUGUUGGAGGUCUUAGGGCUAUUUUCAUCCAAACAGUAACAAAAGAGUAUACAAGAGAAAAUAUCUAUAUAUCCGUGCAUACAAGUGGAAAAGCGUAAUUAUAGAUAAUUGUACAUUAAGUUUCCAGUUCUUGUCUAUAUUUAAUUAAUUAAAAAAAGAAAGAAAAAGAGAGUGAAAUUAAAAAGAACAGAAUUAUAUCGUAUGCUAUUGUUUACAGGAGAACCAAGGGUAAUUAGAGAAGGGUAAAGAUGUAAAUUAAUAAUUAAGAAAGUGCUGUAUCAUCAUUGCUUCAUUCUAUCCAUUUUGGGGAGAUAAAAAAGGCAGUCAUGGAAGAGAAUUAAUUUUCUCGUAGCUCCCAUUCCAUUCUCUCAGACAAGGGAAAAUAUAUAAUUUCUACUGUCUCCCAAACACAAUUUAUCCUCUAAACCAAUGUUUCAGGUUCCUAUAAAUUACGAAGGAAAAAAGAAUUAAGAGACAGGAACUUACUCAAGAAAGUGAUCUUAGCUUUGUCAAGCUCGCACUUGUACCGCCCCGGCACAUUCACACAUUUUGUCAUCCCCGAACACCAAUUUACCCUGGGAAUUUUGCACUCAUCGAUAUCUGAUUCAGGAAAUCCAAUGAGUAAGUAUAUUCAUGUGAUUGGAGCCAUUCAAAAGUAGAAUGAUAUUGCUUCAACUCUAUUCUAAAGCUUCAGUACUCCAUUAUUUUUUCUUAAAAAAAAUAGAUUAAAUCACAUUAAGCGUGUUCGAAUCAUACCAGUGCAUCCAUCAGGAAGAUACGGAUUGCCAUGAUAGCCAUGGUUGCACUUACAAGUAGUUGAAUUGGAAUACAAUGUUACUGUCCUGAAAUCCCACCCACCAGAACUUGAGUUCAUAGGGCGGCUGCAAGAAUUCUCCACACCUUCAGGGAUGUCAGUACCAUAAUACAUAAACCAAUCCAGGAUAACUGGAACAUAUUGCAUAUAUUGCACCUCCUCGGGACUUGAUAUAUUGUUCUGGAACCAUGCUCUCUCUACUAUAAAAGCUACCUUGCAUCGAUUGCUGCCUUGCUCUGCGUUCCCCAAACUCGCGCUGAACACCUGGAGACUCGAGGGAAUUCUGGUCUGGCAGCAAUUGUUACCAGAACAGUUGCUAUUUUCUUUCCCUUCAGUACUAGCACCGCAAGUUGAUGUCUCAAUGGAUAUUUUCUGGCAGCCCCUUGCGAUGAAGAUAUUUGAGGAAGAGAAGGCGAAAGGACUUCCAGUCAUAUCAAUGGAUAUGUUGGCACCGCUACCAGCACAGCCGGAGGAAAUUAUUGGACUGUUUACUCUAACCCUACGCUUCCCUAAUGGAAUCUCCAAGACCUCCAUGUUGAUUCUUCUUAAGAAAGCCCUGCUGGGAGAAUCCGCAGUUGUUUUGUUGCAAUCAACUGAGAACCAGUCAUUCAUGUAACAACCUGUUCCUAUUCCAAAUGGAAAAGGGAUGCUAAUGUUUCCACAAGUGUCUGCACAAUUAGGCCUCGCGAUAAUUAGUGCUGAUACAGUGGCUAUUUCAGGAACUAGAAAUAGCAGGAAAAAAAUUAGAGAGACACUACGAGGAAUCAUGCCUUCCCUUCUAUUGCAGAUUUAGAUGCUUCUGGAGAUCAAUAAUGGAAGGAGAGAGAGGGGGGGGGGGUGGAUCUUUCUUUGCUCCCUAUAUGUGUGAGGAAAAAAAAUACUAAUUGAGACAGAGAAGACUGCCUUAAAAGAGUAAACGAACUGUCCAAAUCAUUAGAAGCUAAUUGAAUGAAAAGUUCUCUCUCAAUCUAUCUAUAUAUAUAAUAUGGUGGCCUUCCAUAUUUUUUUUUUUGUUUUACGUGGAUGUCCGGGCCAGCUUGGACGUAUCACAACUAAUCUCACGGUCCACUGAAUAUUCUGCAAACCCAAUAAACAUGUAAGGCAUCGCGGGGUGAGAGGCCUUCCAUAUUUUUAAUUCAAGUAGUCGUAGGAUGUUUCUUCCCAGUUUCCAAGCUUCGAUUAAUAAUGUAUAAAUUCCACAAGACAAUAAAUUAAGAUGCUCAAAUUGACGAGUGAUGGUGACUUUAGUGUUGACAUAGCGUGUAGACGACGAUUAAAUCAAUUUUUUUUUUUAUAGAAAAUCUAUAUCAUGGAGAAACUUAACCGAAAUUUCCAACGUGAAAUCUCAAACUUAAGUUAUUGGACUGAGUGUUUCUGUGUGGACACUAAUCCUCAUAUUUUUCUCUCCUCCUUUAUUACAGCAGAAGUUGACAUCGAACGACAUUAUUCUUUGACAAAAUUAAUUUAAAAACUAUUGACUUGCAAAAUCAGCAUAAUUCACACUCUCAUGAUAAAGCAUAUUACAUGUUUAUAUGUUUAAUUCACAUCAAAAUAGUAACAACAGAAACAACAGAGACAAAAGGAAAAGAAAAACAGAGACACACGUGUUUAAUUUAUAGCGAUUCAAGAAACUUUAUUUUUAUUAUACAAUAACAGUAACAACAGGAAAAAUAAUCCCAUUACUCCAUUGUUAUGCCUUCUUAAAUCACCAUGUUUUAUCACAUGAGAUGAUGGAGUCCGGCCACUGUCAAAAUCACCCGUAUCCCAGUCAUUGCUUGCAUCUUUUUGCAAUAUGAGCAACAAAGAUAACUUCUUCGUUUUGAUAGCACUCCUUAACUCUAACAUCAAGAAUAUCAAAGAGUUUAUUAUCUUCCAUCAACAUAAUCAAAUGCAUGGCUAGACUUCUACUUUCUGUUAAGGACUUGCACAAAAUAGAAAGGAUCCCAUAUAAAAGGAAAAAAAAUCAAGGGAUCUAAAAAAACAAAAAGAGCUAAAUCUCUUCCAUGAUUAUGCAAUUUAGUCCUUGAUGUUUGCAAGAAAAGAGGCUCAACACUUGUCUAGUGUUCAAAUCCAGUCCCAAUAGCUUUAAAUUUUUUAAUUCAAUUCAAUUUCGUUUUAUUUUUCUAAAUGGAGCAUCAACCAAGAUUCAGUUUAAUUUCCUGACGUCGUGAGCAUCCAACACUAAGCCCUUUUAGGUUAUUCAACCCUAUAUUACAGAGAAACAUGUAGGGAAGAAUAAGAUAUUUUUCUAAAAAAUCUGAUAUUCCAUAAUUUGAUGGGAAAAAAUAACACAAUGAUUGUCAAUGAAAUGAUAUAUAUAUAUAUUUCACAUGCAUGUCAAUCACACAAGGAACUGUCCAUUCAAACAAAUAAUUUAUUCAAUUUAACAAAAUUCCAGCAAGUCUGUCCUACACGGGAGCUCCAUGCUUAGCAAAUUCAGUCUUACUACUAAAAUUAAGAACUUCAAUCACAAUUAAUCUCCACAUUCAUGUGAAGUAGAAUUCAUAAUAUUUCUUGAGAUUUGUAUCAUUAAUUUAUUUUUACAUAAUUAACAUAUAUUAAAAGGUCUUGACAUGUCAUUGUAGCAAUUAACAAUGAAAUGAUUUGGCCUUUUACAAUCUGGUCCUCAAAGAUUAUUUUUUUUGCAAUUCCAUCCUCUAAUAUUAAGUUUAAUAGAUAUUAGACUUUAUAAUUUGUUUUGAUUUAUAUUUUAUGAGAUUAUCUUGGUCUUAUGAUCCAAGUUUGACAGGUUAAUCCGGGUUAACUCGAGUAAUUUUUUUAUUUUUUUUUUGUAAUUGAUUUGUUUCUCAACUUUAUCCUUCAAUAUUUGGUUGAUUGAGAAUUUGGCUUUAGAUUUCUUUUAUUUACUUUUUCUGGGGUUCUGACGGUCUCAUGACCGGAGUUGCAAGUUUUAGGGGUUAAGCCAAAUUGGCUCCCGUUUUUUUAAUCCUUUUUAAUUCAAUUUCUAUUCAAUUUUGAUCCUUUAACAUUGUGUUGAUUGAAAUUUUGACUUUAUAUUUUUUUUAUUUCAAUGCAUUUAUUUCGGUCUCAUGAUUCGAGUUCGGCAAGUUAACCUGAGUUGACUUGGGAUUUUUUUUGUUUGUUUUCUUAUUCAUUUUUUUUUCAAUUUAAUCCUUCAACAUUGGGUUGACUGAGAAGUGUAUUUCAUUUUUUUAUUUUUUAUGGAGUUAUUAUGAUCUCAUGAACAUGGUCACGCAAUAGCCAAGUUGCCUCAGUUUUUUUUUUUUUUGUCAUUUUUAAUUUUUUUUUAAAAAUUUCAUCCUUUAACAUUAGGUUAAUUAAGAAUAAAACACGUUCACUCAACUUUUAGGGAAAGAAAAAUGAAAAAUUGCUUGAUAUAUUAUUUUUAAAAAAAUAUAUUAUUUUUCCCGGUGGCUUGGGAAAGAAAAAUGAAAGCCACUGGGGGGGGUGCGGCGGUGUUUGGGUAGAGAUGGAUUUUAGGGUUAGGUUUUCCUUUUUUUUUUUGUAUUUUUCUUUUAAAAUUGGUCCCCCCCUUGUGCAAAUGUUGGAAACUUCUAUUUAUAGGCAAAUAUGUUGCUAGGUCUCUAAACUUGGUCACACAACUUUUUUUUUUUUUGUAAAUUUUGUUUUUUUUUUUUACUUUUCUUAUCAACAUCGCCUUAAAUGAGAAACAAUCGGUGAUUUUAAAAAUAACACGUUAAAAGUCAAACAUGUUCUAAAAACCUUUGAAAAUUUAAAUUCUUUUGAGAUGAUGCUAAAAAUGCUAAGAACGAUGAAAAUAUAUUAAAAACAUAUUUUUUGGAUUUUCGUUGUUUUUCUUUAUUUUUAAAUUUUUCUAAAAAUUUAUCAAAACAUGGAUAAAAAAUUGGGUAGCAAAAACACACAUACAAACAUACACACAUAUAUGAAACAAUAAAGGAGUCGUUUAAAUAACAAUUCUUCAAUUUUUAGAAGUAAGAUGGUGGCAUAUACCUGACAUUCCAUUAGUGUGAGUUCCUUCAACUGAGAUAGAAGUAAUAAAGGAGUCGUUAAAGUGGUUUGGGAUACUAAUUGGAGAUGUUUCCUUUAAAAUCAAGAAUGAUGCGGUUGAUCAUUGAAAUACUUCAAUUUAUAGAAGUAGGAUGGUGGCAUAUACUAAUUGAAAUUCUCAUUAUUCCCAACAUCAUUUUAAAAUAUCAAAAUCACAUAAUUUAAUCAAGUUUCCACAUUUCCCCAAAAUCCCUACCAUGUCUGCCCGCUUAUGAUCCCAAAUUUAAAAAAAUUAGUUUUUAAUAUGUUUUAUUUAAUCCUUAGCCAUGUUAUCUAACCCAAAAUUAACCAAUAACUACACUAUGUCACCUUUCCAAAUACAAACACACACAAACCCUAAAUUUCUAAAUUUAAGGUUUUUCUAUCCCCCAUAAAAAUUAACAAAAGUAAGUGCAUAUAGAGCAACAGAAACAUCUUGCCACAAUCAAUUAACCCAAUCGGUUAAUCCCUUUGCAAGAAAUCCCAAAAUGUUCUUUAUAUAGUACAUGUCAAACCUUCUUCUUGUUCUUUAGUUUUAUAUCUUUGUUUUGUUGUCCUUAAACUCCUAGAACACUACUUUUUAAUUCCAACAAAAAACACUAACAUCAACUGAGUUACAAUUUUUUAUUUCCAAUUCUUUCAAGUUUCUUUGUUUUUUUUUUACCGUUAAUUUUUUUUCUUGUUUGGCUGCUACAGAAAGAAGAGAAGAAAGAUUGUAAAUUCAUUGUUUAGAAGUCGAAAAAAAAUAAAUUUCAGAAUCAUAGGAAUUUAAUACUUCAAGAAGGAGGUUAUCCUUUUGAAAUCGAAUUCCUAUUCCAAAUGGAAAAGGGAUGCUAAUAUUUCCACAAGUUUAUGUAGGAUUUGGAGUUGGGAUGUUUCUUCCCAACUUCCAAGCUUUGAUUAAUAAUGUUUAAAUUCCACAAGACUAUAAAUUAAGAUUCUCAAAUUGAGUGAUGGUGACUUUCGUCUAACCAAUUCAAAGACGAGGAGUCCAAAACUAAAGAGAAUAGCGUGUAGACGACGAUGCUAUGAAUAAAACAGGGGAAGAAAAGUCGUUUCUCUAGAGUGCAUGCCAAGAUCUUAUUAUAAUGUGGAAUAUCUAGAAAUAGUAGAUAAGACUCAGAAUGAACAUAUCCUUAGAAAUCUAUUUAAAGUGAAUGAAAGCUUUAAUUGAUUAUGGGCUAAAACAUCUCUCUUCAGUUUCCACAUGAGAAAUUACGAAGGAAAAGUAUACAUUUGGGAGGGAAUUAACCAGGCGCGCAGAUGCAGCCAACGACUUUGCAUGCAUGCCAACUGAGAUAGCAGAUCUUCUAGAGGUGUUCUACAUGUUUUUUUUUUUUUUCUUGCUUUGAAAAAUAAAAACCGGAAAGAAAGAUCUAGGAAAGUAGUUUUCGUAACAGCCAACGACUUUGCAUGCAUGCCAACUGAGAUAGCUUUCACAUUCGUGAUUGGCCUAUAUAUGCCAUCAUUUCACAUUCAACCCACAUAAUCCCAUAUCUAGAAAUUCAAUUCAUCAAGAAUGUAGACGACGAUGCUAUGAAUAAAACAGGGGAAGAAAAGUCGUUUCUCUUGAGUGCCAAGAUCUUAUUAUAAUGUGGAAUAUCCAGUAGAUAAGUACUCAGAAUGAACAUAUAUUUAGAAAUUAAUCAGCAAUCAGCUAGCAAACCUAAUUCAAAAAGAGAUUGGAAGAUUGUGUUUAGUUAAUGUUAUAGGAUGUAAUGAACAUAUACAAAAGGGAUAGAAAAAUCACCAAAUCAAAGUUCUCCUUAUUAAUUCAAGUGUUUUGUUUUAAAAAAUUCUAACAAGAAUAGUGUCCGACUUGCAGUGACGAAGUACAAUUACUUAAUAAUUUAACUAUUUUAUUAUCAUAGAAUUUUAAAUAAUCUAGGAGGAAGCUACAAUUUUUUUCUUCUGUUUUACUUUUCAAUAAAAAAUAAUAAUCCAUUAUAACUCUUAAAUUAAAUCAAUUUUUUUUAUAGAAAUUCCAUAUCAUGGAGAAACUUAACCGAAAUUUCCAACGUGAAAUCUCAAACUUAAGUUAUUGUACAGAGUGUUUCUGUGUGGACAUAUAAUUUGGACCCAAAAAUCACAAUUCUAUCAUUAACCAUGUAUGCUUUCGGUUCCUUAGUUAGAGAUUAGCACCCGUGAACAGUAGCAUGAGCACCGAUGAUACCAGCAGCAACAAUAACAAGUUCAGUAAUUGCUCCUUAUUUGGAUAAUGGAUAUCCGAAACUCAAUUAGGUAUUCAAGAUUUAUAUCCGUUAGGGUUUAGGGGGAUAAUAUGACUCCUUAAUUGCAUAGGCGGGAGCGGGACUCUCUGGCCCUUGUUGGACCUCCAAUCAUUGGUGGAUCUAUGUUGCCCGCAAAGAGAAAUCACCUGUGAUUAGUUGGGCUUCCGGCCCCUUAUAUUUAAACAGUGAUGAGCUCACAGCCAUCUGGCCCAUUUAGGCUUUGUCCAAAGAGAUAAGUGUGGAGUUGAAACCGGGUUUUACUUUACCCGACUCAAAAUGUCUCCAUCAUAGAUUUUUUUAUCAUCUGUCCAUACCUCCAAUCUAGUGAAGUCGGGUUACAUGGAUGACUUUCUAGUAUCCAUCAAAAACCCGAUCUGGUCUACGUGUUUUUUUAUAAAAAAAUUAAUUUUAUCAAAAAAAUAAUCUAUUUUUGUAAAACAAACCGAAUCAUAAAAUAAAAUAAUUUUUUUUAUAUAAAAAACAUUUAAAUUAUCAUUAAAGUACCUUAAAUAAAAAUUCUAAUUAAGUUUUUUCUAUUUAUAUAGAUUGUUAUUCAAAUCAACAAUAAAAUAAAUCAUAAAAAAAAACCCAAAUAACCAAAAUAAAACAAAAGGAUUGUAAAAUUAUUAUUAUUACAAUUUACAGUAAAAUAUCUUGAAUAUCAUUGGUUGAUAUUUAUUGAUGGGAUUUUAUAUUUAUGACAAAAUAUCUUGAAUAUUUCAUCACAGGUGUAACUUUUUUAUUGGCUAAAAAAUAUAUAAAGACUCAUUUAUUUUUCACGUUAUUUAUUUAAAUUUUAUUUUAUUUUUUCUUUUAAAGAAUAAAAUAAUACAUGGAAAAAUUUAAUUAAUAGAAAAUUUAUGUUUCUAGAUAUAGUUUAUCUGUGUUGUAAGUUUUUUGAUGAAUGAAAUUAUUAUUCAAUGAACGAGAAAGAGUAUCGACCUGCUACAAAGCUAUAAUUUGUCUUCUUGAUUUAGCAAAAUCAUAAUUUGUCACAGAAAACCGCUCCCUCUAUUUCAAAGAUAUUGUUCACCUUUCAGUCCUAAAAUUAUAAUCCAUGAUCAUUAAAAAAAUUAAGCAAUUAAUUACUUGAUUUUACUAUAUAUUAUACCUCUAAUUAUAAUUUAUUUUAAUUCUUCCACUCAAGAUUCUCUCUUAUUUACUUUCAAAUGAUGAAUAAAAUAAUUUGAAAUAAGAUACGUAAAUAAUUGCUAUGAGGGAAUGAUAGCUUGUUAACUCUUUAGACAUUUUCUAGAUAUAGUUUAUCUGUACUGUAAGUUUUUUGAUGUAUGAAAUCAUUAUUCAAUGAAGGAUCGACCUGCUACAAAGCUAAACAAAAAGAAAGCCACCUAUUCAGACAAACAUUUGUGCUUGACAAAUUGCAGUUUUCCACCAUUUGUGUUUGACAGUGCAAAGAACAGCUUGAGAAAUGCUGUUAACAUCCAGAGUUUCUUUGCACACCAAGAAACACCAAGAGGAAGACCUUUUCUGCUGGUUCUGGAUUGCUCAGUCAAUUUCCCGGCUGCCAAUUGCAUGUUAAUUUAGCACCUGUGCUUUCUUCAAACCAAUUCACAAAAUAAUUGCAAACCAGUACAUCUGCGCGAAGUCUGGGCAGGCAACCUCGUAUAUGAGUUUUUUCUAAUCAAGGAAGCGAUCUCUCGCUUCCCCUUGGUUGCUUUGGACACAGAAUUCCCUGGUACUUUCUUUCAAUUAAAUCGUGACAAGAGCUCGCUGUCUCAUGCCACUCCCUACGAAAACUACUGUCUCAUGAAGUGGAAUGUUGAUCUCUUGAAAAUAAUUCAACUUGAGAUGACUCUUUCUGAUUCACAUGGAAAUCUUCCAAGUUUCGGAACAGAAUUCCACUAUGCGUAGCAGUUUAUUUUCCGGGAUUUCAAUAUCGAGCACGAUCAUCACAAUGAAGAGUCUAUUGGGUUACUUGAACGCCAAGGUACUGAUUUGAAGAAGAACAGAGAGAAGGGUAUUGAUUCCUCAGAUUUUGGGAGGCUGAUUUUGAGUUAUGGACUUGUUUCCAAUAAUUCUUCAAUAACUUGGAUUACUUUUCAUGGCGCUUAUGAUUUUGGAUUCUUGAUCAAGAUUUUAACUAAAAGAGAGUUGCCAAGUGAUAUGCGGUCUUUUUUGGGGAUGAUGAGGUUCUUCUUUGGGGUUCGAGUUUAUGAUACAAAAUUCAUGAUGGGAUGCAUUAGUGGCUUGCACGUUGGAUUGGAGAGGGUGGCUAUGUUACUUGGUAGGAUCUGAUAGCUUGUUAACUCUUCAAACAUUCGUGAGAUUCAAGGAGUCGUGUGCUAAAAUUGAUCUCGAGAAAUUGAAUUGCUAUGAGGGAAUGAUGUUUGGACUGUGUGAAGGCUGGUUAGGGUUCACUUACGCACCUGAUACAUUCAUGGGCAGCACUCUAGUUUGAAGGAAUAUCAAUGGAGUUGUACUCUCAGGUCUAGCAAAUAUUCAGUGUCAUCGUCAUCUCUCUCUUUUUUUUUUUUUUGCUUAAACUUUUUAAUCCAAGUUCCUUGAUUAGCUAUAUAUUCUGAUUUGUUUUGCAUUAAUUCAAGUUUGCCUUAAAGCCAGAUCUCGCAUUGAUUUGUCAGAAAGAGUAAUGAGAAAGCCUAUAACAGCAAUAGUCAUAGCAACUAGCUAGGGACUUGAGCUACAGUAGCUUUGCUUAGAUAUACCUGCAGGCAAAAAAAUGUAUAAUUAAUUGUUAUAAAGUAGAUGUUCAUAAUGCAUCGAUUAUCACCAGCAGUACGUAGAGGUUAUAUGAAAUUGACCAAAUAAGAAGUGGUUGAGGCAUGGGUACAGUAAGGAAAUUAUAACUCAGGCAUGGGUACGCAUUGUUUUGGCAUGCCAUGUAAACAAACGGUAUCAAAUCAAGAGCUAAAAGCGAAGCAGCAACAUAAAGUCUUUUCUUAAACAGUAACUUUACCGACGCACCCAAGGUAAGGGUUGCCCUUAUAACCAUUCCGGCAAGAACAUUCCUGUGCAUGGGCAGAGCCAGAAAGUUUUUCUAUUAAAUAAAUAUAUAAAUUUUUUAUAAAUAUUUUUUAGGAUAAAUUAUUAUCUUAUGCAUAUGAAUUUUUAAAGUUAACAGUAAAGUUUUAAUUUAAAUAUACAACCUAAAAUAUUAAAAAAUAAAUUUAAAAUACAUAAAAUUGAAGCGAAAGUAAAAAUAAACUCAUUAUUAAAGUUAUAAUAUCCUUUAAUAUUUUGUAGAAUAUAAUUCAUUUAUGAUCGAAUCUGAAUCGAUAUUGUAACAACCCCUUAACCGAGAUAAAAUAACAAUCUCAUGUUAACUGGAAAACAAAGUAAUUAAUUUUUUCCCUCUCUCAAUUCCUCCUUCCUUCACUUGAUUUUUUCUUAGUUUAAUAUUUUAUAAGUUUGACUUUGUAAAUUUACAAGAUUAGUCUCUCAUUUUUUUUUUCCCUUACUUUUCUCUCUUUGUCUCUCGCCUUUUCUUUUUUUUUUCUUUUUCUAUUAUGCCUGCCCGAUUGUCAACAUAUCAAAGGAAGGAAGAGCUAAUUUGUUUUAUUUUUUAAUGAUAAAUAAUCAUUUUACCGUUAAUGAGUCGUUUUGCUUUUAUUUGACGGUUUUUUUUUGUUAGCACUCAAGCCUCGUUCAUCCUAAAAUUUUAAGUAAAUUUUAUUCAAUAUAGUUUAAGAUCCUUCGUAAAAUUUAAGCUCAAUCCGAUGGUUGUAUUGAGAAUUACGCGUAAUAACAUAAAAAACUAGUCAAAUUGUGAUUUUUCAUCAAAUUUUUGAAUUUCUUCAAAAAUUCUGAAAUUUUAACCCAAUUUAAAAUAUUAUAUUAGAAGACUCCACGUAAAUUUUCAAAAAAAUUUAAUAACUCAAUCGAAAAUUAUAAAUUUUUUCAUAUAUAAAACUAGUAAAAAAAUAUUGAUAAAAUCUUAACUUAGAAACCCACCCAAACCUUUAACAUGCCUUCACCCCUGGUUGUAGAGCUUUCAAAUGGUGCAUUUUUUGCACCUUGAUAAGCUCAGGCUGCCGUAUAAUUUCGACCAGAUAGUCGGUCUCUAGAGAUCAAAACAUACAUGGUUUGGCGAGGUCCUAGCAUGAUGAGUGAGGUGGGAAAGGGCUUAGGCAUCAUCACUAACAACUGUGAACAUAUGGUUGGUUAUGGCGAAGAAAAGUAACUGAGUGGCUGCAACAUUGAUGACUCGGAAGAGGCAAAUUUGACUCACCAGAGUUUUUUUUUUUGGUUUUUUUUUUUUUAAUCCUACCUGGGCUACAGCCCAACGGAGCCUUGUGAAAGGCUCCGCCCUUGUUCGUAUGCUAAAGUCAAAGAGUGCUGAAGAAGGAAAUAUUUGCAACUCGUGGUCUUGGGGUCAUAUUUCCAAAGCUUGUAAUCCAUCACCCAAGCCAGCACCACCGGAACAUAUGCCCGAUCAUGAAACACUUGCAGAUUGUUUAUAUCGGAGAACGCAACCCAUUCUUGGUCUGCUAGGAAAGUAAGCUUGCAUCCACUGCUGUCUUGACUCUCACUUUUAAUUAGUUUCUAGACUUGGAUUAAAAACCUGCAUCCUGAAAGGAGCUCUGGCUACGCAGCAGUGCUUACCAGAACAGAGACUAUCAAUUUCUUGCCCAAAAAUAAUGGCUGUAUGAUUAUAGUAGGGAACGCAUGUUGAGUCGCAUCCACUGACUUGGGGCCCAAUCUCUGUCAAUAGAGCACGGAUGUUGCAGAUUACUGAAGGAGAAAAAGAAAGGACUUCCCUCCAAGUUCAUCGGAUUGCCUACCGGAACAACUGGAGGACAUAAUUGGACCUUUGACAACGGCAGAGCACCAUCUCCAAUAUUCAGAAAAAAAAUUAAUUCAGUAACACGUUGCUAAAAUAACGGUUGAUACUUGAUACUAUCUCAAGAUACAAAAAUGAUGGACAUAGUUUGGAUAAAAGAGACAUGUUUCAUGUUUUUCUUGAAUCGAUUUUAAUCGAGAUUUUUUUUCUUUACCAUGAGAAUUUAGCCAUUCUUUUAAACUGAGACCAAUAAAUAAAGAAAAUGAAGUUUAUGACUGAAAUUGAAUUUUAUAAAUUAUUAAGAACUAAAAGUUUAUAAUUUAAAAAUUAAGAAUUAAAAUAGACAAAAUUUAAUAACUAUUAUUGAAACUAAAAUAUAGUCUUUCAACUUUCGGAUUUAGAGUAACUUUUGCUGGGAGUAGGCACAAAAUACUAAUUAAACAUGUUGUUCGAUUAGUUUAGGAACGUCUGAUGAAGGGAAAUACAACGAGAAAAUUAUAAAAUUGUCUAAAACAUGCAAAUCAAAUGAACAUAAAUGUCAUGGAUGUACUUAAUCACCAUGUUUCGUGAGAAAUCAAUGUUUGGACAUCCAAAGAUGGAGCCGUGCCAUUUCUAAAAUCGCCAAUUGUUACUGAAGUAGGCCCAGCAAUUUCCCAUACGUUGGGAACUCCAUCCCUGAUGUUUUCAAGUUCUUUACUACUUUGUUGUGCAUGAAGAGCUCCUUUUGACAGCCGAAUCUGCUCCAACUCUAUCGCGACUUCUCUCAUUGUUGGUCGUUUCCUUCCAUUCAAGUUCAAGCAUCUUCUUGCAAGCUUAGCGACUGCGAUAACUUCUUCGUCACGGUCCUGCCCCAUAAGUCGUUCGUCAAGAAUAUCAACUAUCUUGUUCUCUUCCAUCAAAAGAAUAAAAUGAGUGGCUAAACUUCUCCUGUCUUCCGGCCUUUCAUAAGAAAUUGGUUUUUGCCCACUCAAGAGCUCUGCAAGAACAACACCAAAACUGUAGACGUCACUUUUUCCGGUAAACUGGCUAGACUGGAAGUACUCUGGGUCCAAGUAUCCAAAAGUGCCUUGAACAUGAGUGGUUAGAUGAGUUUGAUCAAUGGCGAUCGAUCUUGAAGUUCCGAAAUCUGAUACUUUUGCUCUGAACUUCUCAUCUAACAUUAUAUUUGUAGACUUGAUAUCACGGUGGUAAACCGGAAUGGAUGCUGCGGAAUGAAGAUAAGAAAGUGCCCUAGCAACUUCAGUAGCAAUCCUUAGUCGCAUUUCCCAUGAAAACUCGAACUCCUCCUUCUGGUCAUGAAUAUACUCAAAGAGAUUUCCAUUGGGAAUGAAUUCAUAGACUAGCAGAGGAACCUCCGUCUCUAAACAACAACCUAGCAACUUGACCACAUUUCUGUGAUUGACUUGUGAAAGGAUGACGACCUCAUUGAUAAAUUCUUCCAACUUUUCUUCAUCCACCAUUUUGGAUUUUUUAACAGCAACGAUCAUUCCAUCUGCUAGCAUUCCUUUAUAAACAGUUCCUUGGCCACCUUGACCAAGUAUUCUAUUAUCAUUAAAACGAUCGGUUGCCUUUUCCAGCUCCUUGGAAGUAAAUAUUUUUGUUUUCUGAAUGCUUCCAUCACUUGAGGAUAAUUGUUGCUGCAGCAAUAAACCACCAUUUCGUUUGAAGAACUUCUUCUUCAGUUCAAUGUUCUUCCUUUUUUUUUUAAGUUUAUAUAACCGCCAAAUACCAACAAGCAGCAACAACAAUCCAGUGGCCGCACCUAGAACUGCCAUUGCUCGCAAGAGAAAAAAAAAUAAAAAAUUGUUAGAUACAUACAUACGUAUUAUUAAAUCUUUUUUGGGUUGAGGUAAACCUUCUGUUAUCAUUAAAAAAAUAUCGUAUGCUUUGAUUUACAGGAGAACCAAGGGUUAGAGAAGGGAAAAAUGUAAAUUAAUAAUUAAGAAAGUACUGUAUCAUCAUUGCCUCAUUCUAUCCGUUUGGGAGAUAAAAAAGGGAGUCAUGGACGACAAUUUUCUCGUAGCUCCCUUUCCAUCCUCUCAGACAAGGAAAAUAUAUAAUUUCUACUCUCCCAAACACAAUUUAUCCUCUAAUGUUUCAGGUUCCUAUAAAUUACGAAGGAAAAAAAGAAUUAAGAGACAGGAACUUACUCAAGAAAGUGAUCUUAGCUUUGUCGAGCUCGCACUUGUACCCACCCGGUACAUUCACACAUUUUGUCAUCCCCGAACACCAAUUUCCAUUGGGAUUUUUGCACUCAUCAAUAUCUGAUUCAGGAAAUCCAAUGAGUGAGUAUGUUCAUGUGCCUGGAGCCAUCCAAAAGUAGAAUUAUAUUGCAUGGUGAAUUUAUGCUUCAACUCUAUUCUAUUAAUUCGAUCUUCAGUACUACAUUAUUAUUUUUUUAAGAAAGAAAGAUUAAAUCACAUUAAGCGUGUUCGAAUCAUACCAGUGCAUCCAUCAGGAAGAUACGGAUUGCCAUCAUAGCCCGGGUUGCAACUACAAGUAGUUGAAUUGGAAAGCAAUGUUAAUGUACUCAAACCCCACCUAUCAGAAACUAAUGUUACAGGGGAGCUGCAAUUCUUUGCAUCAGAAUUCUCCACACGGAUGUCAUCACUAUACAUAAACCAAUCCAGGAAUACUGGGACAUGCUGCAUAUCUUGCACCGCCUCGGGACUUUUUAUGUUGUCCAGUGACCAUGCUCGGUCUACUAUAAAAGCUACCUUGCAUUGAUUUCUUCCUUGAUCAUUAGGGUCCUCUGUGGUCCCCAAACUCGCACUGAACACCUGGAGAUUCGAGGGAAUUCUGGUCUGGCAGCAAUUGUUACCAGAACAGUACCUCUUUUUUUUACCUUCUGUACUAGAACUAGUCAAGUUAUUAGCACCGCAAGUUGACGUGCACCCAACAAUUUCUGGCUCAAUUCGGUUCAAUAAAGCACGAUUGUUGCAGCCCAUUGCGAUGAAGAUAUUUAACGAAGAGAAGACGAAAGGACUUCCAGUCAUAUUAAAGGCUAAGUUGGCACCUCUACCAGAACAGCCGGAGGAAAUUAUUGGACUGUUUACUCGAACCCUACUGUUCCCUAAUGAAAUCUUGAAGACCUCCAUGUUGAUUCUUCUUAAGAAAGCCCUGCUGGGAGAAUCCGCAGUUGUUUUGUUGCAAUCAACUGAGAACCAGUCAUUCAUGUAACAACCUGCUCCUAUUCCAAAUGGAAAAGGGAUGCUAAUGUUUCCACAAGUCUCUGUACAAUUAGGCUUCGUCAUAAGUGCUGAUACAGUCGCUAUUUCCGGGACUAGAAAUAGCAGAAGAAAAAUUAGAGAGACACUACGAGGAAUCAUGCCUUCCCUUCUAUUGCAGAUUUAGAUGCUGCUGGAGAUCAAUAAUGGAAGGGGAGAGAGAGGGGGGGGAAAGAUCUUUCGUUGCCCCCUAUAUUUGUGAGAAAAAAAUACUAAUUGAGACAGAGAAGACUGCCUUAAAAGAGUAAACACAAUGAAAAGUUCUCUCUCAAUCUAUCUAUCUAUUUAUAUAUAAUAUGGUGGCCUUCCAUAUUUUUAAUUCGAGUAUUCGUAGGAUUUAGAGCUAGGAUGUUUCUUCCCAACUUCCAAGCUUCGAUUAAUAAUGUAUAAAUUCCACAAGACUAUAAAUUAGGACAAUUCAAAGACGAUUAGUCUAAAAGUAAAGAGAAGAAACAGUAGGCUUUGAACCACUUAAAUGUUUUGGAACUCGGAAUAGAGAAAUUAAAGAUAGAAAGGUAGCGUGUAGACGAGAUGCUAUGAAUAAAACGGGGGAAGAAAAGUCGUUUCUUUUGAGUGCAUGCCAAGAUCUUAUUAUAAUGUGGAAUAUCUUUAGAAAUUAAUCAGCAAUCAACUAGCAAGCCUAAUUCAAAAGGAGUUGUUGAGAUUGCAAGAUUGUGUUUAGUUAAUGUUAUAGGAUGUAAUGAACAUAUACAAAAGGGAUAGAAAAAUCCAUAAAAAAAAAAAAGACAGAGUGGAGAGAAAAAAUUGAAGAAACGAAAUCUAAUUAACAAUAAUACCAUCAAAUGAAAGUUCUCCUUAUUAAUGUUUUACUUUGUUUUGGAACAAAGAAUAUAGUACAGCGAUUCAGCAAACUUUAUUUUUAUUAUAUAAUAACAACGGGAAAAAUGCAAUCAUCUAAUGCCAUUGACAAGUCUUCUUAAAUCACCAUGUUUUCAAUAUUUAUCAGUGGUUCACAUUGGAAGAUAACGGAGAUGAUGUAUCCCAGUCAUUGCUUGCAUCAUUCAUGACGUUUUUUUUUUCUCUUCAUAUUUAUUUUACAGUUUUGUUGAAUAUUUGCUCUUUUUGAGACAGUCCAAUUAUCCUCUCCAAUUUUAUGUGACUUCUCUCAUUCAAGGUUGACUUUUCCCUUUCAAAUUCAAGCAUCUUUUUCCAAUAUCAGCAACAAAGAUAACUUCGUAUCUAUUUAAUUUGUUCUCUCUAGUUUAGUACUUUUUUAUAGUUCUGAAAUUUCAAAAAGAGAAAAAUGAAAUUUAAUUUAUUAACACGUUGCUAAGAUAGUGUUAGGUACUAUCUCAAAAUAAAAAACGAUGGAUAUGGUGGGGCGGGAUAGAAAAGACAUGUUUCAUGUCUUUCUUGUAUCAUUUUUAACUGAGAUCUUUUUUUUUAUCACGAGAAAAAAAAUAUAGCCAUUCUCUCAAACCAGGGAUCAUGAAAUAAGGAAAAUGAAGUUUAAAAUCAAAAUUAAAUUUUAUAAAUUGUUAAAGAUUAAAAGUUUAUAAUUUUAAAAGUUAAGGGAUAAAGUAUAUGUUUAGCCAUAAUUUAAGAAUUUCUUUGAAAUUUCUCUUCAUUCUCCCCUUUUUUGAAGCCAAAUUGUCCGCAUUGUAGGAGAAAGAAGGUAAAUUUUUUUAUUUACAACAAUCCCACUAUUUUAAAUAUCCUACAUGUUAUUUCCAUCGAAUCCUUGGCCAUCGGUAAAUUUUCUCAACCAUAUUUAUUCUUUUAAUUGUCCAAUGUUUUACACUAAUUACUAGACGUAUUUAUGGUUCAGUUUGAUUCAGUUUGAACAAUAAAAACGAACCGAAUCGAGUAACUUAUAUUUUUAAAAAUUCAAAUCAAACGAACUAAAUUCCGGUUCAAACCGAACCGGUUCGGUUCGGUUAAAUUUGGUAUUUUGACUUAAAAACCAAGAAACCUAAUCAUUAAAUUAAUGGGUUUUUUUUAAACUUUUUUAAAUGGGCUUAGAUUAAAUUGAGCUUUUAAAUUUUCUUGUUGGGCUAAGUUUAUAGGUUUUUUAAUCAAAACUCUUUAAAAUUUUCUAAUUUGAUUUAGUUUGUUAUAAGCUUUUUAAUGAAAUUAAAAGAUUGAUAUUUUUUUGAAAUGCUUAUAGUAAAAAUAAAUUUAAAAUGCUUCACAUCUUGCUAUCUUACUAUCUUUAAUAUGCAAAGAAAUAAGCUAUGAAAAUCCAAAUCAAUGCAAUAUGCAAGAUGCAUGAUCAAAUUUGAACACCUCAAAUUAAAAGAGGUGUUCACACAAAAAAAAAAGCGUUUACAUUAGCAAACAGAUACAUUAGCAAAUAGCAACUAGUAAUAAAUUAUCAUAAACAUCCGGCAUAAUUUGAAGAAAAAAAAAUCCAGCACCAACACUACAACAGCAUCCAAAACCUUCAGCAAUAGCAAAAACCAAAAGAUACAGCAAGGUUAAUGCUAUAAAGAAACACUAGCAAAUUAGCAACAUAUUAGAGUUCCACUAUUAAAAAAAUUAGCAAUGUAAAAUUUUAAAAGGAAUUAACAAGGUAAAGUAAAUUAAUUAUCCAAAACAAUUAUAUUCCAGGAUUGCACCAACAUCAUCAAUACAACUUACAAACAAUCAGUUGAAAUUUUUAAACUUUCACCAAAUUCUACAAAAACAUAAAUUAAAAUGUUAGAUUAAACAUUUAUAAAUAAAUGAUAUUAUAAAAUAACUACAUUUAAAUUUGUCAAAAAAAUUACCUGACUCAAUCAUCUCAAAUUUUUCAUAUAAUCCAUGAAGGUUCUGAUGUUGAUUGGAAUUGGUGCUAAACUCAACCAAUUCUGACAACAAACCAAUGCUUGCACUGUUGAUGGAGAUAAAGAGCUUCGAAAUGGAUCUAAAAUACGACACCAGUACUGAAAGCUGCUUCAGAAACAACUGUAGAUACGGAAUAGCUAACACGUGUUGUGCUACCUUAGAAAGAAUCUUGUAUUUUAGCAUUACACUCCACCAACCCAAAAUAUCUAAUUUAAAAUCAUUAGGAUCCUCACAAUCAUCACUCAAAUACCUCUCAACCUCAUUUUUUUUUUUGGACAUUGUCUUCUUCCUCUAAAUGUUUUUUGAAUUGAAAAGCUAAGUCAUCCAACAUAUCAUCAUUUACCACCUUUAAAUCAACAUUAACAUUUUCAUUUAUAGUAGUUCCAACACCAUGAACAACCUCAACAUUCAUAUAAUGCUCAAACAACCUUAGCAAAGUAUCUUUAACCUUAAUUGUAAAAUUUUCAGCCUCUUCAACAUCAUACAAUCUUUCAAAACAAAAUCUCAUAUACUUCAAUUUGAAACGUGGAUCUAACACAAUAGUCACAUACAAUAAAAUUUUUAUGUAUCUUGAUCCCCCCCCCCCCAAAUAUUUUUUAUACUCUGCCAUCAUAUUCUUGGAUAUUUUAUUUGCAUAAACAUCUUCACUUCUAUAAAGUUGAGAUAUGCUUGUGUGCAUAGAAAUCAAUUCAUAGAAGAAAGAAUUAGAUGUCACAUACAACGAGCUAGAAAAUUUCAUUGUAACCAUUUAAAAUAGUUUCAAGAACUUGACAAAAGAUCUAGCCCUUUCCCAAUCUUCUAAAAUAGAAGGACCUGAGUUUUUUUUGUUUCCCUUUUGAAUCAACUUGAAAGUAACUUAAAUACCUAGGAUCUGUUUCUUCUAACCUCAUAAAAACCACAUCAAAUUUAAGCAGCAUCUAGCAUCAUAUAUGUAGAGUUCCAUCUAGUUGCAACAUCCAAGCAAACAGAUUUUUUACUCCCAAUUUUCAACCUCUCCGCACAUUGGUUAAAAACAAGUUGUCUAGAAGGAGAAGAUCUAACAAACCUCACUGCAUUCCUAAUCUUAACAACUGAAUCAUCAAUAUCUUUCAAUCCCGCACAUACAAUAAGAUUAAAAUAUGUGCACAACAUCUAACAUGCAUGAAGUCAUUUGACAAUAUAUUAGUUGCCCAAUUACUUGUUACUCUCUUCAAAUAUUUUAUUGUCAAAUUAUUUGAACUUGCAUUGCUCAGUAACUGUUAAAAUGUUAUCAAUUCCCCAUUCCAACAAACAACUCUCAAUUGCUUGGCCAAUUGUUUCACCUUUAUGAUUAGAAACUUGACAAAAGUUUAGAAUUCUUUUAUUCAAGUUCCAACCUUCAUCAAUCCAAUGGGCAGUCAAACACAUAUAAUUAAUAUUUUGGAUUGAUGUCCAAGUAUCGGUUGUUAAACAUACACGUUGAUCCUUAAGAGCUUUCUUUAAUUUUUCCUUCUCAACUACAUAAAUUUUCAAACAAUCUCUCCAAAUCGUCAAACGAGAAGGAACAUCAAAUCUAGGUUGCAUUACUUGACAAAAUGAUUUAAAUCCUUGGUUUUCAACAAAGUUAAAAGGUAGCUCAUCAAGUAUAAUCAUUUUUCCCAAGGCUUUCCUACACUCUUCAUAACUAUAACCCACUGCUUUAAUAGUCGCUAGAUUGUCCUCUCCAUUAUUACCCCUUUUAUUAUAGGCCUAGGUUUUAAAACUAAAGUUUUUUGUUUUCAGUCAAUCACAAAAGGAAAUUUUUUGCAUACACCUAGAUGACUCUACAUGUUACUAGUCCUAUUAAAUAUAGUAUGACAUGCAUAGUCUUUUCCACAAUACAUACAUGCAGUCGUAGGAGCUUUAGGAUUACCAUCUAGUUUUUUAAAGGGAUCCUAAAUUUGAGAUGUUUUUUUUAUUAGAUUUAGAAGGUGGAUUACCUUCACUUUCAGUGUUGCUAUUUGUACUAGAAGUAGCAACUAGAACUGGAACUGGAAUAGGCAAAGAAUUGGGUUCCGAACUUAAAGGAUUUGAUUCAUUUGGUGUAGGAUCUUUCCAAUUAUCUAUCUAAAUUUAAAAAAAAAAAAAAACAACAACAACAACAUGAAUCUUAAAGUUAAAGCUAACACGUUCAAUUGCAAAAAGGAUUUAAGGACCAUAAAUUAUUUCCAAUCGCAAAAGCAAGAAAAAAGCCCACUAUUCUGCCAAUUAAUACAAAAGCAAGAAAAAAACCUCCUGGUGAAUCAAGCAAAAGUUGAGCAUCAUGUUAGGUUCAUAAAAUUGAAAAAAGGCAUAUGUCACCUCUCUAUUCUAAAAAACUUGUAUACUACUCGUAGAAAUACACAUCAUAAUGAGCUCCAACAUCUGACAAGGCAAAAAAAUUUCAAACAAGGUGUACACUAUAAUGGACCAAUGGUUUAUAAUAGAUCAUACAUGAAAAUCAAAUAUUUCCAUGGAAAAGGUUUUGCAAAAACACACAAUAAUUUUAACUGAAGAGAGCAAUCAAUAUCUAAAAAUUCAACAAAUCAUGAAAUCAACAAAAUCAACAGUUAACUUGAAUUUAUUAUAAACAUAACAUAACACCCAACAACCAUAUUUUCACAUUGCAGGGGGCAAAGACACAGGGUGAAUGAAAAUUGAAAGGGAAAGGAAGAAUGCGAUAAAUUGUCUUUGGUCUGGGGCAGCGGCUUUUCAUGUAAUGUUAUUAAUUAGGGUACUUAUGUUUACUGUAGUAUUUAUAGGUCUUUUAUUUUAUGGUUGGUUUGGUUUGGUUCACCGGUUUUAGUUGUAAAACCAAAAUUGAACCGAACCGGCAAGAUUUUAUGGUUUUAAAAAUCGGUUUUUCAUUGCGGUUCAGUUUUCUUGGUUCAUUUUUCAUCGGUUUUCUUGGUUAAUUGGUUUUUUUUAACAUCCCCUGCUAAUUACCAUGGAUUUUCACCCCUAGUCAUGACAAAAUUUCUUUUUAAUUUAUUAUUUUUCACUUGGAAGUGGUGUUGUUUAACACGGGGUUUACAUUCUAUGCCUAAUAUGAAGGCCUUCCAGACCUUAACUAGUUACAGUAAGCUAACCCUUCUAUAAAACAGGGCUUAUUGAAUAUUCUGAAGUUAUAAUUGUUUUAGUUAAUACGCCUGAGUUCUCAUUAGCUUUGUCUUGUUUAUCUUUUAUAAACAUCUUCACAACAUAUCCCACAUCAAUAAAAGAUUUAUCUCAUUUUAUAAUUUUUACAUGUGGCAUAUUAUGAUGAGCAAGUUAUGAAUCAUUGGCAUAUUUGGCAUGUCCAUAUUUCAAAAUGAAAACUUUCCCCAUAAUAUUACUUGAUAUUAAAAAAUAAUAUCAUUUUAAUGUGAUAGAUAGAUUGCUUUUAAUAAUUUGUUAUAUUAUAUAUAAACACACACUCACACACAUAAAGGUUUGAUCCCAUAAAUAGGAUCGUCAAGACAUCAAUCUAGUCCAUAUAUCUAAGAAAUUUCCAUUUUCGUCCGUUGAUUAAUCAUAUUUUAUUGAAAUUCUACCAUGGAGAAAUUUAACCAAAAUCUCAAACAUAAGAAUUUGAACCAACAGAAGGGAACAAGGGAAAAGAAAAACAGAGACGCAUGUAUGUUUUCAGCGAUUGAUGUCUUGUAAAAUCAGCAUGUUGUAAUAUUUAUCAACGGUUCACCAUCGGAUGAUGGAGUCCUGCCAGUAUCAAAAUCACCAGUGAUUGAUGUCGAAACUGCAUCCCAAUCAUUGCUUGCAUCAUCCAUGGCGUUUUUUGAUAUUUUACAGUUCUCUUGAAUAUUUAGCUCUUUUUGAGACAAUCCAUUUAUCCUCUCCAACUCUGAUGUGACUUCUCGCAUUGUAGGUCGAUUUUUCCCAUUCAAAUUCAAGCAUCUUCUCGCAAGAUUAGCAACAGAGAUAACUUCUUCACUCUGACAGCCCUCCUUAACUCUAGCAUCAAGAAUAUCAGACAGUCUAUUGUCUUCCAUCAACAUAAUAAAAUGCGUGGCUAAACUUCUAGUCUCUGUCUGACUUACAGAAAAUAUCGGUUUUUGUCCACUUAUGAGCUCAACCAGAACCACUCCAAAGCUAUAAACAUCACUCUUUUCUGUAAAUUGACUAGACUGGAAGUACUCGGGAUCCAAGUAGCCAAAAGUACCUUGCACAAGAGUGGUCAAGUGAGUUUGAUCGAUGGAUAUAGAUCUUGAAGAUCCAAAAUCAGAUACUUUUGCUCUGUAUUUCUCAUCUAGGAGUAUGUUUGUAGACUUGAUAUCACGAUGAUAAAUCGGAAUGGAUGUCGCCGAGUGUAGAUAGGAAAGUGCUCCAGCAACUUCAAUGGCAAUCCGUAAUCGCAUCUCCCAAGAUAACAAGAGAUCUUCGUUUUGAUCAUGGAUAUACUUGUAAAGAUUUCCAUUGGGAAUGAACUCAUAGACUAGCAACGGAACUUCAGUCUCCAAGCAACAACCGAGCAACUUAACCACAUUCCUAUGGUUAAUCUGUGAAAGAACGACGACCUCAUUGAUAAAUUCUUCAAGCUUUCCUUCAUCAACGACCACGGACUUCUUAACAGCAACAAUCCUUCCAUCUGCUAACAUCCCUUUAUAAACUGUGCCUUGACCACCUUGACCGAGUAUUCUAUUCACAUUAAAACGAUCAGUGGCUACUUCCAACUCCUUUGAACUGUAUAUUUUUGUUUUUUGAACCCAACCUUCAGCAGCACGUAAUUCCUGCUGUAACAAUAGCCCACCAUUUCGUUUGAAGAAUUUCUUUUUGAGUUCAAUCUUUUUCCAUUUCUUUACAAGUUUAUAUAACCACCAAAUGCCCAUCAGCAAUGACAAUGCCAAGACAACUGCGCCUAUAACUGCAUUAUUUACAACAACGAAGAAAAAGUUAAUUUGUUGACAUGUGCAAUCAUCAGCAUAUAUAUAUAUAUAUAUAUGACUACUGAAUAGCAACAAGCUAGAUUUAGUAGCUAGUAUUUUAUACAUUUAAUCUUUUAGCUCACUCUAAAUGAUGACAAGUGCUUAACAUUUUAGUGAAAUCCAAGAGCUUCUUCUCUGUUUUAAUACAAAGGGAGGUUCCAUUAAAACAACAACAAAAAAAUUUACUGAGUCCUAGGGGGUGUACAGGGUGCCAUACCCCUAUUUACCAUCUUAGUAAGGAAAACAACAAGAACAACGACAGCAAGAAAGUAGAAGAAGAAGAGAAGAAAUCUUAGACUUACCUAUCAAGGCUAUAUAAAGUUUAUUGAUCUCGCAAUUGAAAUACCCCCGUGUAUUUACACAUUUAAGUAACCCUCGGCACGUAUGCUUCGAUUCUUUACAUUCAUCCACAUCUAAUAAAAUAAUAAGAGCAAAAAUCCAAAACGAAUAAGAUGAUUAUCCAAUGUUAGGACAGAAAUCACUAACAAAAUUAGCAAGCCACCAUUCCCAUAGCAAAAUCAUCAUUUUCUCAACAAACAAAUUGCUGUCAUCACUCAUAUUUUUGGAGGAAAAAAGUAUUUACCUAUGCAUCCAAGGUAAGGGAUGCCCUCAUAGCCCCCAUUACACUCACAUUCGGAUCCAAAAGAUCGAUUGUAAUAUCCUCUGCAAUACACGGGAUCAUCAUCAUUCCAACUCAUUGUCCAACCAAGCUCUGCUGGAACAUAAUCUCUAUAUUGCAAUGUGAAUGGAUCGCUGAUAUUCGAUUCGAACCAUGUCUGGUUCACCAGGAAGGCCAGCUUGCAUCCUUCUCUAUCUUGAUUAUCAUCUGUAGCUUCUAAUUUUGGAUUGAAAACCUGAAGGAAUGAUGGGGGUGAAGCCUGACAGAAAUUUUUACUCUUUACGUCACUGCAGGUAGACACACAACCGAUGAGAUUUGGCGUGAUUCCGGUCAUUAAAGCUUGAGUAUUACAACCUACUGCGAUGAAUACAUUAUCGUUUCUGGAGAAGACAAAAGGAGUUCCCGUCAAAUUCAGAGGCACGCCAUCUUCCCUGCCAGUACAAUUCGAGGAUAUUAUUGGACUUUUGACAGUAACAGUGGCUCUUUCAGCUGAAAUAUUCAGCACCUCCAUGUUGAUUCGACUUAUAAAAGCUCUAGCAGGGUUGACAGUUGCAUUGCAUUCUAUGGCGAACCAUUCGUUCAUGUGGCAAUCUUUUCGUAUUCCGAAGGGGUAUGGAAUGCUGAUGUCUCCACAACGAUCUGGACAACCGGACCUUGCGAUCGGUGCUGCUGUUGCUGCUAUUUGAAACAUUAGCAUCAUCAACAUCAAUUGAAACACCAAUUUCCAAACCAUUCCCCCCCCCUUUUUUUUUUCUUUUCUUUUUGAAAGUUUUGAUUCCAAAUCGCUCCUAAAUAAGUUCAUAUAUCCCAGUAAAGCAAGAAUUGAGAUGUUUCUUUGUACCUUCUGGGUGACUCACCGGGUCAAACCAGCUAGUAUAAAUAAAGAAUAAACACCGGUGGAAUGUAGAUUUUCAGUAGCAUAUAGUUGAAAAGUCGUCCAGUACCUUGGUCUCCAGAGAUCGGUUCAAAUUUGAUUUUUCAAGGAAGUAAUGAAUAUAAAAAACGUGUUCAGUAUACUGUUCGCUAGUCAAUUGUGCAGUUCUGAGAGUUACUAGUCAAUUUUCAUAUGGUUUUGAUUUUUAUUUUUAUUUUGUUUACAAAUGAGAGAUUCGAGCUUGAAAUUUUUAGGGAAGAAAAAAAAAAAACACUUCCAUCAUCCGAGUUACAAUAAAAUUCUUUCAGGUUUCUUUUUUUGACCGUUGUUUUUUUUUUUUCUUGUUUGGCUGCUGCAAAGAAGAGAAGAAAGAUUGCAAUUGUUUUCGAAGUCGAAAAAAGAUAAAUUCCAGAAUCAUAGAAAUUUAAAACUUCAAGAAGAUGGUUAUCUUUUGGAAAUCGAAUUCCUAUACGUUGAAGGAUUUUUCUUGUUAAUUUAAAUUUAGACCAUUUAAACAAUAUAAUCCAAUUGAAAGACUUUCUAGCAGCUUUGAGAUCCACCAAUAUUCCAAAUAAAACACUUGUCAUUAGAAAAUAGAGGGUGCAAGGACAGUAACCAACCACUUGAAAAGUCUAGCACUUGUAUCAUACUGUAUGUCUAGGAGGCCAAGCUAUCGUUGCUGAAAAAAAAAACAGGGUUCCAGGAAUGGUUCUUCUCUGUUUGUCCUCUGGAGCGUGCUUGGGUUUAACACAAGGGGACGCAGUCUACUGUGUUAACUAUGGGCCCUAUGCUUCCUAGGAGGUUUACAGGGUACCAGUAGUACCCCUAUUCACCGAUUUUGGUAACAAGAAAACAAGAAGAAGAAGAAGAAGAAAUCAGAGGCUUGCCUAUCAUGGCUAUAGAGAGUGUAUUGAUCUCGCUAUCUAUUCGACCCGCCCAAUUCUUGACCUGGGCUAGGCUGAGUUAUUAGCCAGAUGGGAUAUGAUGACUAUGGUAAGGACCCGAAAGUUAGUUUCUUUUCCCUCUUAUUAUCUGCAGCCUUCAUUUCAACAAUUUCCUUAAUUGCAUGCAUUCCUGUCCAUUGACAAAGUAAAGUUUCAUAUCCUAGACUACUUUUAACUCUUUAAGCCACGAUGUGUGUAGGGGGCAUGGAUCAGGCUUCCCUUCAGAAACCGCCUUCUCGGAGAGAGAAUAGAACCAGCCAUUCCUCCAUUUAAACUGCAAGAAGUUAACUUUCAAGUCAGAAGCAGAUUGCAAUUUUAUUUUAUUCUUGCAGUAGAUGUGCUGCAAAAUAAGGAAAACUUUAUCCUCCCUUAACCCUCUUCUAUUAGGUCCAAGUAGGCUCAAGUCUCUUAACCAACAUAUAUUUAUCAAAAACUAGUUCGAAUCCACCAACUCAAUCAAAAUUGAUAAAGUUGUGCUAAAAAGCUUAAAGCUAAGGUUAACAAAAACUCGUACCUCCUUAACAGCUGUUGGGAAGUGGGCAACAGCGCGUGCAAAGGCACAUAAUCUUUCCCCGAUAGCUUCUUCAAAUACUAUUCCUUUUUCUGCAGCUGCUGCAGAAGCAAGUUCUGUAAUAAGGCUAGACACCUGGAAACACAAAUGUCAGUAUCAAUCAGAUCUAUUCAUUUUAGAGAUUUUAUUGUGCACGAACAAAGUCAAGAGCUUAACAAUCAUAAUCUUGUGAAGCAANNNNNNNNNNNNNNNNNNNNNNNNNNNNNNNNNNNNNNNNNNNNNNNNNNNNNNNNNNNNNNNNNNNNNNNNNNNNNNNNNNNNNNNNNNNNNNNNNNNNAGAUCUGCAAAAGGAGAGGAGGCUUCGUGAAGAGCUGGAAGGAAAGAGCUCUUUGCCAAGUUGUUGGAGCAUGACUUGGUUAGAUAUGCACACCACAUAGAAAACAGAAAAUCAUGUGCAAGAAAUACCUAGUUUCACAAUUACAUCAUCCGAUUGAUUUAUAUCUUAAAGUCCACAAAGCAUAAAGAAGUAGCACUAAUAGGGAAUGGGAUUUACUAAAUAGCAUCAAGUAGACAGCGGAUUAGCUGCAAUCAAAUGAAAGCAUUAAAGAAAUAAAUAAUGAAUGAAACAAAUUAAAUCAUCCAAGUAUAAACUAUAAACACUAGCAAAAGAUACGCAGUAACUCAAGCUCUGAUGCUUUAAAUAGAC